rnacentral:lncRNA from 1 species
UGUUCUGUAGGACUGUAAAAAUAAAGUAUGUUUCAAGUAUUUGGGAAAUGUAUUCCUACAUUGUAUUUACAGUAUUUUACUAUUUGUUUGGCAGAACUGAAAGAUUACCAACACAAGGUGGUCGGGAACGUGUUCUGUCUCCUGAACAGGAAACUGAAAUCAUGAACAUGGUCCUAGAAAAUAACGCCAUAACAUUACGGCAAAUACAAAGAAAAAUAAUAGAAAACAACGAGAUAUUUCAAAAUAUUGAUAGGGUAAGCUUAUCAACACUGCACCGUGUCUUGCGCAGAAAUAAUCUCAGGAUGAAGCAGGUCUACAGGGUGCCAUUUGAACGCAAUUCAGAAAGAGUCAAAGAAUUGCGAUAUAACUAUGUGCAAAGAGUCCUUGAGCUAGCGGUGGCUGCAGUGGAGCACUAGUUCAUCUUCAUUGAUGAGGUUGGAUUCAACCUCACAAAAAGACGAAAGAGGGGAAGGAAUAUCAUCGGCCAGCGUGCCAUUGUUCAAGUCCCUGGCCAGCGCGGAGGGAACAUCACAAUGUGUGCAGCGAUUUACCCACCACGGCGUCAUCCAUCACCAUGCUACCCUUGGCCCCUACAAUACCGCCCAUCUGAUCACAUUCCUGGACACCCUACACAACACACUCAUUCCACCAGAUCAGGUAGAUGGCCCAGAGCAGCUCAGGUACGUUGUCAUUUGGGACAAGGUAAGUUUCCACAGGGCUGCUCUGGUUCGUAACUGGUUCACUGCCCACCCACGCUUUUUAGUUGUUUAUCUAACUCCAUAUUCUCCAUUCCUCCAUCCUAUUGAGGAAUUUUUUUCUGCCUGGAGAUGGAAAGUGUAUGACUGAAAUCCACAAACGCGUAUACCUCUUCUCCAAGCUAUGGAAGACGCAUGUGGAGAUAUAGCAGCUGAUGCUUUUCAUGGCUGGAAUCGCCAUGCUAGGCGAUAUUUCCCCCGCUGCUUGGCCAGGGAAAACAUUGCUUGUUUUUUUGUUUUUUUUAAAUGUAAUUUUAAAUUAAAUUCUUCUGUUUUGUAUGUAGACCACUGUAUGUGCAACUUUGUGUUGGUUGGGAAUGGGAUGUACACUGUGUACAUUGUUUUAGUGGGAAAAAUAAAAUAUAUUUGUUACCGUGUAUUUGUGUGUAUAAAAACAAUAUUCUCAAAUAUUUUACAACACACUUAUGUAUGUACUGUCUGUAGUAAUGGCAACACUGAACCCCAAAAAGGC